CACUUGUAUGACAAGACAACUCCAAGUGCCUCAGGCCCUUUUCUUCAACAAAGAUCUCACCAUGUGCUCCAGGAUGACUCAAGAAUGUGGUUUUUCUGCUUCAACCAACGGCAUGCUAGUAAUUACAGAGUAGAACUAGUGCUGCCAGUAUAUGCAUGUGUGAAGGGCAAUCUUCUAAAGCAUGGCGAGUCAUUCGGGGGCCACAUCCUUGAAGAAUGCUGAUUUACUGAACUCCAGCAGCCACCAAUUACCAAUAGUUCCUCAA